AUUUCCCCUUUCCCCUCCUCCUCCUUCCCCUCCCAUAUCUACGCCCUGAAACCGGGUUUGAUGCAGCACAUCAAACGAUGUUUCGCAAAAGGCAGGCGGGAACAACUCGGGUGAUUAGGAAACGACCUUAAUUUUUCUCCUGCAGGAGACGGAGGGAAGAGUUCUUGGCAGUAACUUUUAUAUGCAGAGACGCGACAACUUGCUUUCUGCCAAAGGAGAAGAGAAGCAGCUGCUUUUGUGUGCUGUUUAAUCUUUAGCUCCAGCGUCCCUCGAGAAAAGGAAGAAAGGAAGUUAUUUAGAACAAAAGUCUUGUCGUUUGGCUCCUGAGAAUUCAGAUGUUACAGUGCGAGGGAAACUGAAUACAGUUUUCCACUGGGGAGAGCCGGGGACAGCUCGAUCCCACCCCGCACUGCCCAACAACCGAGGAGCCUUGGAUUGGGAGCAAGCUCAAGUUUUGUGUUUCCCGUAGGAAUUCAUCACAUCCCAGCACAGAGGAACACGAUAUACCAGCCUGAAGUCAUCUGCUGUGGGUGGCACAUGCCCAGCAAGGAGGCACAAGUGAGCUGGCAGGGCAAGAUAGCCUGAAGCAAAGAUGACUGAAGGGACCCAAGCAGGAAAAGAGACACAAGCAACACCAGUGUAGGUAUGUCAUUGGACUGGACUGAACACGUUGCAACCUCAAACAGACCUUGCAGUGAACCAGCCCUGCAGAUACCUGUCACUAAUCUAAUAAACCCAAAUUUUACUGCCAGUUCAAUACCUUUGCUCACAGUUUGAUGAUAAAAGAGCUGGUAUUCAAAAAUGAAGGCCACUGAAUCGUGGCCCACAGGAACAUUUCUGGUGGUCAGCAGAGCUGGCAGAUGACCAGAACUGUUCUUUAUCUCAGCAUUACACUCUCCCCCAAGCAGCUGUAAUAAAUGCCAGAGAGAGGCUGAGCUGUCACUGAAAGGAAAGACAGAAAGAUGAAUUCAGGAAACACAUUCUAAAGAUAAGGUUCAUACUACAAGAGCUUGGUAAUCUCCAGCAUGGAUAAACACACAUUUUCCUGUACACACACAGCCCCUUCUUACUCAAGAUCUGGAGUUAACAAACUGUCUUGCACACCCAUUAAAGACCCAGCUACUGUUCAAGUACCAACACAGUAAAUG